AAGUCUCUGGUCAAGUCUGAGUCUUAUGCGUUUGUUUUGAAGUUGUUAGUAUUUGAAUAUGUCAUCCUACUUUAUAGGAAGCACGUGAGUCGUGGUGAUUUCUAGGAGUCUGUUGCUUUGUUUCUUCUAUUUAAGCUAUUGGAGUCUGUAGUGAUUUCCUUAUCACUUUCAAUAGAACAAUCCAGUUCAGUAUUUUGCUCUCUGAUAUACAACAAUGAGUCGGUUUUACAGUUUAACCGAAGAUCUGGAUCUACUCUUUACCGUUCACUCUUUUCAGUCUCUCCGACCAUGUCGCUGUAUCCUAAAACUGUGGUUCGUGAGGUAAAAUCUGAAUCUCUGACUUCAUUGUUACUUUGGUUCAGCUUCUUUUCUUUUUUGUUUUGGUGCUGAUGAGUCUGUUUUACAGUUUACCCAAAAGAGCUCUGGAUCGAUUCUCUGGCGUUCACUCUCUUCUUCUGGAUCUCCGAUCAUGUCUCCAUAUCUGGUUCGUGAGGUAAAAUCUGAAUCUCUGACUUCAUUUCAUUUUUAAUCUAUUUCAGCUUCUUCCUUUCGAUGUUGAUGA
rnacentral:lncRNA from 1 species